UUUCUUAUAAAUGGAAAAUAACAAAUGAAAUGUUUAAAAAAAAUAUAUAAUCAAAUAUCAAUAGGAGUAUUACAUUUGAAGAUUUAGACGAUGCCCGCAUUAUGCUGUUCGUAUAAAAUAUUGUAUGCUGUACGCGAAUUGCUACGACCGCGCCGACACUUGGCGCACUUGAAUAGCAUACAAACUACUGUAAAAUAGAACGUGUAAGAUUUAGAACAAAAGAAUUUCGGAGCCAAUGAAGCAACUACAACGAUACAAUAUUAUCGAAAACGAAAUCCUUUGAAUUUAUUUCUUUUUUUCUUUUUAAUUUUGUAUUAUAAAAAUGUUAAAAUGAAUUCCUUUAGGAAGGAAUAAUUGAUAUAAUUUAAAAGAUGACAAUAUUUUUACGUGCGUACAACGAAAAUAUCGGAUCGACAAAUAACUGAUGAUUAUAAAAUAUCACUUAAAUUAAUUAGUCCUUUGUUAAACAAAAGAUUAUAUUUUUUAUCUAAUAAUAAUUCCAAAAGCUUUUCUAUCUAGCUGAUUUAUUUUGAGGAUUUUUUAAACUUCGCAUUUGCGUGUCACAUAUCGAUAAUAACAUAGUUAAUGCAGGCGCACAAUUAUUAUCCCAACGUUAUCCAUAACUGCACAAUGACAUCGUCAAUCUCACCUUGGAUGGUGAUAUUGCGAAGCCAAAUAGCCCCCGUGAUUGCAGUUGACUCCUCCGUCACAGCUAAUGUUCCGUAAAUCAUGAACGAGGCCGUUAAAUAUUUUCACGAUCUUCCACCGCACCAAUGUUUUUUCUCUUUAUAAGUUUUUUUUUGUUUCCGUUCCUCUUAGAAAAUUUCUACUCUGCACUACGUCGUCGUAAUUAUUCUUUGAUCGACCCGUUCUCGAUAUCGUUCGAGUUCACCCCCUGCAACUGGUAUACAAAAGGAGACCACAACGAUCCUUCAUCGACGUUUUUUUUCCCGUAAACUUAUAUUGAGUGCGCUUGCUUAAAGAAAAAGGAUAUUAAACUUUUCUGACGAUGUUUUCUUAAGUUAUCACUGAUGACCGAAUGUUGGAACGUUAAUAAAAAGAUGUAUACAACAAGGGUACAUGGUACAUUCCUUCUUCUUAAACAUAUUCCACCAAACAACAAGUAAAUUUCUUCUUAGAUGUUUUAACGAGGAUGUUCUUCGUCCUAUUUGAAUACCACCGACGUCUCAUUUCUUUCAGAUAUUAUUUUUUAUUCACGUUUUAAUUUCUUUCUUUUCUUCUUCUUCUUCUUUAUAAAGUUAGAAUCUCUCUAAUGUUAAGAUAUUGAAUAUAUUUUCAUUCGUUUUGAUUCGUUUGCCGUUAUCACCCUCUGAUUAUUAUUUCAUUUUCGUCAUAGCUCUAAAUUAACGCCGAUCUUUGGAUCGACCUUUUCUCAGCACUUUAUUGAAAGAAGUUCCUCGUAAGAAUACGGAACGUUGAGUCGAGCCUUGCGCACUGCCAUUGACACGAGAUCCAUUUUGACCCUCGACCCAUUUUACUGCCACCCUCCCUCCUCCCCCUCACCACUUUUCAUCAACCUGCUGCUUCGAGACCUACCGAUACGGCUUCGAACAUUCUAAAUUACAAACGGAUUAUUCUUCCUUCGUGCUUUCGAUUUUUUUACAUUGAUGAAUAUCUCUGGAAGUAACUUCUGAAGAAUAUAAGCUGUGAUUUUCUUCAAAAUACUUUUAAUUCACAUAGAAAAGAAGAUGGAUUGAACAAAGAUAUGU
rnacentral:misc_RNA from 1 species